UCGCGCCCUUGGACAAAGCUGACAGUUAAGCUGGCAAUUUUUGGAUUAAGUUCAUCUUUGAGCUACGGACUUAUUUUCUGCACUAACGGCCAGUGAUCCCGUCGAGCUCUGAUGAGGAUUGGGACAACACUGCGGAACAGCCAGAGACCUCACCACCAUCAGCAAUGGAGAAUAGACAUUCAAGUGAAACUCACUUCCUGAACAUCACUCAUCCAUUUGUUCAGCCGCUACAACCCUCAACUCCUUCACCUGUGGUUUCACAACCAGUUCCAAGACAACUUCUACAAGCCACCAAUACGAGCAUGUUUGUACGUGUUCUAACCCUCCUGGAAGACAUUAAGGACACUCAGAGGGUCCACAGUCGAAUGCUACAGUCUCUCCUUACACAACGUGAUGGACCAGUUGCUGCAGUAUUACCCGAGGGUGCUGUAUUUCCCAUCCGGACAGUAGCAGAUGUGGCAGCACUGGAGCAAAAACUGGCAGACCCUGUCUUCCUAAAAGAAGUGGUUGCUGUUGUGGCAGAGAUCAGAGGGAGCACUGUUGAUGAAGCCACAAGAAGAAUGAUGGCCUUCAUUAUG